AAAAAGAAAGAAACAAAAACAACUCCAAAAAAAACACAACAAAAAAAGAAAAAAGUUGUUGUGGAGGAUUCACCUCCUGAAGAAGAUCAAUACUUUGACGGUGAGAGAUAUGAAAUAUCAAGUGACGAACUCGAUGAAUGGCUAAGGG